CUCCUGGGCUCAAGUGAUCCAUCUGACUUGGCCUUCCAAAGUGCUGGAAUUACAGACCUGAGCCAUUAGGCUCAGCUGAAAUCAUUUUAGUAUAUUUGGUAAUACAGUAAAUAAAUGAACGUAAAGAAUUUUAAAUAAUUUGGUUUUGCUUUAGAUUCAGGGGAUAUAUGUGCAUGUUGGUUACUUGGGUGCAUUGCAUAAUGGUAGAGAUUGGGCUUCUAGUGUACUGGUCACCCAAAUGUUGAACAUUGUACAUAAUGUUUUUCAAGGUUCAUUCAUAUUGUAAUAUGCACCAGCACUUUAUUCCUUUUUACAACUGAAUAAUAUUCCAUUGCAUGGAUAUAUCACAUUUUAUUUUUCCACUCAUCAGUUGGUGGGUAUUUGGGUUGCUUCUAACAUUUUCACAAUGCUGCUGUUAACAUUUGUGAAAAGGUUUUUGUGUAACAUAGGCUUUCAUUUUCUUGCGUCUAUAUCUAGGAGUAGAAUUGCUGGGUCGUAUGGUCACUCUGUUUAGCUUCUUUAGGAACUGUCAGAAUAUUUUUCCAAUAGCACUUUGAUUAUCAUCAUCAAUAUAUCAGGAUGCUACUUUCUUUACAUCAUCAGCAGUAUUCGUAAUUAUCCGCGCUUUUUUUUAUCAUAACCAUCCUAGUGGGCAUGAAGUGGUCUCUCCAGCAACUUACCCAGUACUCUGACUAAUACAAUUCCCAAGGCUGAUUAAAACUCUUACAAUAUAACAUUUUCUUUUUCUAUUUGUUAUUAUGUUAAUUCCAGUUCUAGCUGAUCUGUCAGUCAUAAAUAAAUUAGAUGACUUCAUAGAACUGUGUAAUUUAUAUUUUUAGAGAGUUUAUUCUGUAUUUUAAUGCUUCUCAAUUUUUUUCCUCAUUUUUCAGACCCGCUCACUUUAUUUACAUUUGAGUGUUCUGUGCUCUUGGCAGUGGUAUGUCUUAUUGUUGAUUAAAUUAGCAUUUUUAUUUAUUUGGCAAUCUUGUCAAAAAUAAGUUUAUUCUCAAUGAAAAUAAAUUUAUUCUUCCACAAUGGUUGAACUAGUUUACAGUCCCACCAACAGUGUAAAAGUGUUCCUAUUUCUCCACAUCCUCUCCAGCACCUGUUGUUUCCUGACUUUUUAAUGAUUGCCAUUCUAACUGGUGUGAGAUGGUAUCUCAUUGUGGUUUUGAUUUGCAUUUCUCUGAUGGCCAGUGAUGGUGAGCAUUUUUUCAUGUGUUUUUUGGCUGCAUAAAUGUCUUCUUUUGAGAAGUGUCUGUUCAUGUCCUUCGCAGUGUGGUGAUUCCUCAGGGAUCUAGAACUAGAAAUACCAUUUGACCCAGCCAUCCCAUUACUGGGUAUAUACCCAAAGGACUAUAAAUCAUGCUGCUAUAAAGACACAUGCACACAUAUGUUUAUUGCGGCAUUAUUCACAAUAGCAAAGACUUGGAACCAACCCAAAUGUCCAACAAUGAUAGACUGGAUUAAGAAAAUGUGGCACAUAUACACCAUGGAUUAUUAUGCAGCCAUAAAAAAGGAUGAGUUCAUGUCCUUUGUAGGGACAUGGAUGAAAUUGGAAAUCAUCAUUCUCAGUAAACUAUCGCAGGAACAAAAAACCAAACACCACAUAUUCUCACUCAUAGGUGGGAAUUGAACAAUGAGAUCACAUGGACACAGGAAGGGGAACAUCACAUUCUGGGGACUGUUGUGGGGUGGGGGGAGGAGGGAGGGAUAGCACUGGGAAAUAUACCUAAUGCUAGAUGACGAGUUAGUGGGUGCAGCACACCAGCAUGGCACAUGUAUACAUAUGUAACUAACCUGCACAAUGUGCACAUGUACCCUAAAACUUAAAGUAUAAUAAUAAAAAAACAAAAAUAAAUAAAAAAAAAUUUAUUCUUUAGAAAAAAUCACCUUUGAACAUGGACUAUAAUGAUUUCCACAAGGAAAUGCUGGAUUAUCAGUCCAGUUUGUUAACAUUCAACUGGCCCAUCCUGAUUACAUUUCAGCUUUAUCAGAAUUUUAAAAAUUUAGCAAUUCAUUUUCUUUGUCUUUCAAUUUGUUUUCACAAUACUUAAUUAGUCCCAUCCAUGAGGUAAUCUUUUUCACCUCAGUAAUAAUCGAGGGGUAAGAAAAAGAGAGAAUUGAUAAGAAAAAUACUGCUUAGUUAGAAUUCACAGAAGUUUGCCACUGAUUAGAUAUGAGUGUAGAAAAGAGAGAGGGGGAAAAAAAGAAAAUCUCCUCACUUAUUGACACUGGACAGUAGAAAAUAAUGAAGUACAUAGUUGGCAGAAGGAAAAGUGGUUUGAUAUUGGAUGUAUUUGCUUUCUGAUGAAGACAUAAUGUGGUAGGAAUUGCUGCACGCUUGGUUCCUGAGGUGGUGGAUCGUGCCAGUCAGGCUCACAAAUGUGAAGGAGGAAGUAGUAGGGAUUUGGGAGAAAUGACAAUUUGAGACUAUUUUCUAGGAAUUUAUUAAUUCUAGGAAAUAGAGUGAAGAAAAGGAAAGCAAAUAUAGUAUAGCAUAAUAAAAUAACACUGAGAUAGGAUUUCUAAAAGGAACUGGAUUGUUAACAACAUAGAUGAUUCUAGAUUAAGACUGAGCAAGCAUUUUGGAGGCUGUUCUCUGAGGACUUCUGAAAAAACAAUUUCUACAAUGGGGAUUUUCUUAUUGUGAGAAAAUAUGAACAAAUUAAGGAAUGAUAAGAAAUGAAGUGUGGUUGGAGAUUGCUACUUCAUUAGGUUUGUUCAUUAAUCGAAGAAAGAAAAAUAAUGGAAGUCCUAUUGCACAGAAAUGUUAAGGAAAGCUUUUUCUAUGUACACAAGUAUUUAUCUAUUUUUGUUUGCUUUUAAUGUUUAAAUUUUAAGUACCACUAAAGAAAAAGAGAUUGAAAACGCAGUGAGGGAGUAAAGGAUGAGAUCCGGAGACUGGAAUGCUUCUGCAUGAUAAAGGGAAAAUCAUUUAUUCCUUAGGAAGUAAUGGGUGAGGCAAGUGGUGAUUUACACUAAUUUUAUUUCUGUGGAAUAAGGAAUAUUGCAUUAGUUAAAAAUGUGUUCUGCCCCAUGUAAUGUAAUAUCUCACUGAAAGUAGGGGUGGUGUUUAGUUUACACCUUAAAAACUAUGGGUUCAGCAUCCAGAGCAGGCUAUCUGACUCAGUGACGUCAUCAGAGCACGUUGUUCUGUUUUCUUAUUCCAACAUCUUUACCCUAUAGUCUUUACCCUUCAGGAUUCUCUUAUUGUAAUCGUAAAAUGCAUUCUCUGCUUCAGGCUAGUCUUCUAGGUAAGAAGAUGGAAGAAUGUCAAAGGGGCAGAUUAUUGCCAACUGAGGCUAUAUUUAAGGCUUUCCAUGAGUCCCACUCAUUGCCUUUUAACAUAUAAUUGGUCAGAGCCCUGUCACAUGUUUCCAGACAUAUCUCAAGCAUCCUGAAACAUUAAGUAUUUUAGAUUUAUAGCUUUUUAAUAGAGAAAGGCAAGGGAAGAGUGGUUUAUAAAACAUUUUGGAGUAGUCAAUACAGUUUCUGUCAUUUUGUCACAGAUUUGUGAUUAUCAUUAAAAAUUAUACAUAGCAAAGAAACUAUGCUUUCAUAUUUUGCAUAAAGGAUAUAUUUCACAUAUUCAAAUGUAGGCUUGAUUCUAGUUGUAUCUGUUAGUUAUGUAAAUAUUUAUAAAGUACAUAUACAUCUACACAUAUAUUUACAUACAAACAUAUGCAUACAUUUAUUUAGAAUUGGAUGUUUACUUUUUAAAAAUCAUUAGAUUAAAUAUCAUACGAACGAAAUGGUAAAUCAAAGGAUCUUAGAAGGGAAUAUAUUGAAUCAUACAAAUAACUGAGAUCACCUAAGUUUUACAUGUGAAGUACCACGAAGGUCAUUGACAGUCAUUAAAGAGAGAGCUCAAAUUUGGUGAUGCAAUCAUUCUGCUAAAAUAAAUAUUACGUAUACCUAUGGUAUAGUUACUACAUGAUUUUUUUUUAUAGUUCUUUACCUGAAUUUUAAUGUUUCCUGUCACAAACCAAAACAAGUCAUAUGAUUAUUAUUAUAAAAUGUAUGAUAAAGAAAUUUAUCUCAGUAAAGCAGCAGCUGAAAUUAUACUCUUCAGGAAUCACAAAUCCUAAUCACAAACAAAAUUCUUUCUGUUUUGUAGUAGGCGUGUUGCAAAUUCAGGAAGGAAAUGUGGCAUAGAGGAAAGAACACUGGUUUUGGCAGACAGAAAUGGUUGACUCAUUAACUGCCAAACCCAAUUAACAUUGAACCAACCUACUCCACUUAAUUUUCAAUCAUAUUAUAUGGAAAGUUGAGAUAAUAAUUUUUACCUAAUCCAUUUAUUUAUUCACUUAUUUAGCAAUUAGUUAUUGAAUAUUCACUGUGUGACAGAAUGAUUUCAGGUGUUCUUAAAAAACCAGAAAAAUCUCUGCUCUUGGGGAGUUUUUAUUCUAAUUGGAGAGACAAAAUAAACAAUAAUAAACAAGUAAAAUACAAAUAUUUCUGCUGGCAGUAGUGCUAUGGAGAAAAAUUAAGUAGGGAAGGGCAAUGAAGAGCACAAGGAUGUAGCAGUGGGUUUAAUUUAAAUGAUACAGUCAUUGUAUGACUUCAUCAAGGAGUUGGUAUUUACAAUGACCUGAGCAAAUUAAAGUAAUAAUUAUGCACAUAUCUGAGAUAUAAGUUUUCCAGGCAAAAGGAAAAGCAGAGACUCUGAGAUGCAAGCACAUCUGAUGACUUGAGGAACAUCAAGAAGACAAGCAAAAGCCGGGUGUGGUGGCUCACGCCUGUAAUCCCAGCACUUUGGGAGGCCGAGGCAGGCAGAUCAUGUGGGUUCAGGCAUUUGAGCCUGGCAUGAUCAACAUGGAGAAACCCCAUCUCUACUAAAAAUACAAAAUUAGCCUGGCAUGGUGGUGCAUGCCUGUAAUCCCAGCUACUCAGGAGGCUGAGGCAGGAGAAUCCCUUGAACCCAGGAGGCAGAGGCUGCGGUGAGCUGAGAUCGCGCCAUUGCACUCCAGCCUGGGCAAAAAGAGCGAAACUCUGUCUCAAAAAAAAAAAAUAAUAAUUAAAUAAAUAAGUAAAUAAAGAAGACAUGCAUAAAUAGAGCAGAGUGAAGGAAGAGAAAGGUAGUAAAAGUUGAGAUCUGAAAAGAAACAAUGGGCCAGGUCAUGUAGCGUCUCCUAGGCCAUUAUAAGAAUGUUGAUGAACAUACAAAUUUGGCUGUCAUGACCAUAUAAACCCCAUUUAAAGCCUUGAAACUGGAUGAAGUCAACUCACAGGAUUACUUUGAAAAUUAUGUAGCCAUGCCCAACCAUAGUAAUUGGUCUUUAGUUGUCUCAUUGGCUUUGUUAAUCUAUAUCAGUCAGAAUCUAUACAAGUAAGAGUCAAUCUUUUAAUUUGGUGUCAAAAUUGGCAGUUUGAGAGAGACAGGAGAAGACAAAACAGGAUACCCAGAACCACAUGUUGUAUUUGUGAUGGAGUAGAAGAAAAAGUCCCAUGCCUUGCAUGUUUGUAUUUUAUAUCUAAAUCAGAAUAUUCCUAAGCCUAUACCAAAACAUCACAAUUUCAUGACUAUAAGAGAAUAAAUGUUCAUAAUUUUAUUUAGAUUUUUUUUGGAACAAUGACAUUAACAAACAAAUAGAUAACAGGAUGCAAGAACAGCGACAACAUGUUUUUAACCAUGGCCAAUCUUUUGAUUCAAUGCCUUAAAUAUUACAGAAAUUAGGAUUAAAGGUAUUUUGAGAAAAAGGUGAUUUAAAUACCUAUAAUGUUGAACCUUUUUAUUUUCAAGUGAUAUAUUAUUCAGUCAUAGAAGAUUUUUAUAGAAGAAAGCCACCAUGAGUUACAGGAAGUAUAAAACUCUUUUGUCUGCUUAAAAGGUGUAUGUUUUUAGUGACCAUUUGAAAUGAACAAUAUAAAGAAUUGAAGAAAGAAUUAUUGAAGAGGCCUUAAAUAAGACAAAUUUAUUUGAAAAUUAAUCAGAAGACAUAAAGAUUAAAAUAUAGGUAUCAGAGAAAAUAAUUGUUAACUUCUAUUAGUAUAAGCAAAUAAUAGUUGCUAUUAGAUUCAAAUACUGAUAACACAUUAUUACAAGGAUAUUUUGAAAUAACGUUAUUUUGAUUUAUGAGACCAAAGAAAGAGAAGGUUCCAAAUACUAAUCAGUUGGUCUAUGAUAUGAAUGUAUAUUUGAAGUACUCUGAAUGGAUGAAAAGAUUUAAGAAUUCCAAUGCUAUAUUUUAUAAAUAUAUUAAAAGUAAGGGGAAGCAAAUUUGCUUUUACAUGGCGCAGAAUUAAUUUUAAAAAGUUGCAACAUUGUAAAUAUGUUCCUCAGAGGUGGUUAUUUCAAAAGAAGUUCUUCAUUAACUUAUUGGGAAAGUAUGUUAUUUUCACAAACAAGUUCAAACAGCAGAUCUAGAUAUUGCUGCAAUGCUCUUUGUGAAAUGAAAAUUCUUAUAAACAUUAGCUGUUAAGUUUAUCUGUUGUGUUCAAAGUAAUUGGUAUCUUUAAAAAUAGAAAAGAAAAACAGAAUACCUGAUUUACAUUUGUUUGCUUAGCUUUCAAGAUUUCAUUAUGCCUGUAUUCAAUUGCUAAGUGUAAAAUUACAGAAAGGUGGUUUUAUUCAGUUUUCUAUCAUGAGCAUUUAAGCUUAAGGGAAUUUUAGGAUUCCUCAAAAAACUAUUUCACCAGAGAGAUUGCUGAAUAAUUUUGCAAAAUCUGCAGCCACAGUAGAAACACAUUAAGCCAAAAUGCAAUGUAAUUAAUUUGUGUGUAUGCUGUAUAAAAAGUGAUUCUGUAAUUUCAUAUGGUUGCCAAAUUUGUGUUACAAGGCAAAAUUAUUGUUUUUGGAUGGGUGUUAAUACCUUUCCUGAAAAAUAAAAUUACGUAUUCAAGGAAGUUUGGAAAUAUUAGGUUAAACAUAUUUUAAUGACAUUUUAAAAACCUUUUAAUUUGAACCAAUUUUAAACUUACACAAAAUUUGGAAAACCAGUAGAGUUCACACAUACGCUUUCCAUACAUAAACUUCCCUUAACAUUUAUCUUUUAUAAUCAUAGUGCAAUUAUCAAAAGAAGGGGUUAACACUGAUACAAUACUAUUGACUAAAUUAUAGGCCUUAUUUGAAUUUUAUUUUUUUUCAUUAAUGUCUAUUUUCUGUUCCACAACUCUAAGAUCCUGCAUUGCCUUUAGUUGUUAUUUCUCUUUAACCUCCUCCAAUUUGUGACAGUUCUUGUGGAUGAGAUUGGAAUCAGUAUAAACUCAUGAUUUUCAAUGUAUAUAAACAAAAAAGAUAGAUACAGAAAUACAGAUGUGCCUCUAUGUAUGUUUGCUAGUAUAUAUACUUACAAUUCCUGGCCAUGUCUCUGAGACAGAACAGAGGCAAUGACAUCUCAGUAGCAAUGAGCAAACAUGUCUUAGUAAAUUUGUGUUGCUACGACAGAAUACCUGAGACUGAGUAAUUUAUAAAGACAGAUUUAUUUUCUUGGGGAGUCCAAAAUUCAGGGCCAGAAUCUUGUGAGGGCCUUCUUGCUGUGUCAUCCCAUGGCAGAAGGCAGAAGGCCAAGACAGUAUGUGUAAAGGGAGCUAAUGAGGAGGGUGAACUCAUGUUUAUAACAAACCCAUUCUCCAGCCAUAGGAUGUUAAUCCAUUCUAUGAGGCAGAGCCCUAUGAACUAAUAAGGCCUUAUUAGGCCCCACCUCCCAACACUGUUGCAUUGGGCAUUAAGUUUCCAACACAUGAACUUUAGGGAACAUAUUCAAAUCCUAGCAACACUUAAGGCUCAGAUCUUGAUUGGUAAACAUCAUCCUCCAAUAUAAAUAUCCAGGGCUCCUUGGAGUAUUGGUUGAUUCCAGGAAUGGGGCAGGGAAAAUACAAGAUAAGCCUGAAAAAUGUUGUGGUGGCAGAAAGUAAGGAAUUGCUCAGAAUUAUAUGGGGGCUGGUCAAAAGAAACAACAUGAAGGAAGUCCUAAUGGGCUAAGAUGGAAUCUUUUGGGCCACAAAAUAAAUAAUGAUAUUAGGUUUUAGCCCAUAAAAUAAAAUAAACAUCCAGUAGUCCAUACUAAUAUAAAUAAGUAAAUAAGGGAUAAGGCAUAGCUCUUUCUUACUGAAGAAUUCUAAUAAAUAUAGAAGGAAAGAGAAAAAUAUGAAGUCACCAUUAGGCAAACACUACAGUAAUAAUUGUGACUCCUCAAUGAGUACUAAUAUUAGGGGUGAAAGUUUGAGGAGAACUAGUAUAAUUGUGUGCUUUUGACAUGCCUCCCUAAAAUAGUUAAUAACUAUUAAGGGAAAAUUUGUAACUUUAUCAUGGAGGAACCUGGGAGACACCAUCUAAACCAAGGGAUCAAGAUAACCACAAUCAAUAAAGAUGUUUUCAUGUUGCCUUUCAUAUGAUGCACUAAGAAGUUACUUUGGUAUUCCUGCCAACAUUUUCUAAUCAUGUGAAAUAUUGAGAGCAUCCUACAAAAUGACUGCCUGAAACUCUUUAAAAUUUCAAGUCUUCAACAAAGAAAGACUGAGGAAUUAAAACUUUAUUUUAAAACAUUUUAGCUUAACUCGAGGAGGUUUUAAAUAUUUGGAGAUAGUAUUUUGACUGGAGGAUUUCCCUCAGCAAAACCUUUAUGAAAGUAUGUAUUUGGAAGAAAAGAAAGGCCAGCAAAUGUCAGGUAAAGCAAUGCUUUUUUCUCUUACUGCCUUGAACCCAAAUUCCAAGCAGAACUUUUAAGGAUCUGAACUACACCAGACAGAAGCCUUCAAUGUUUCUCUGACCAUUAGGCUAAUGAACUCAGAUGCAAAUUAGCCAUGAGAUCUUCCUUGUCUGUCAUGCUCCGGCAUCCAGAAUCUCCAAUUCUAAACACUGUGAUAAGGGAAAAUAAAAAUCCAUUGUCAUUUAUCAUCACCAGAAAAGAAGGACUGAGAAAGACCACAAGGCAGGAGGAAAGCAAGGAAGGAGGUAAUGACAGGAAGACAGGAAGACUUUGUUUCCCUUUAAUCCUAAACUCCUCACAGAAGCCCCAGGGAAUCAGCGGUCAUGAGGGAGGAGGAGAAAGUUUCUCAAAAGUAAUAGGGAUUAUAAUUACCACACUGACUGCAAGAAAGCAAGAACAAACAAACAAAAAAAGUGGGGGAGCAUGCUCAAAUGAACUAUUUUUAGUUCCCUUGGAAGUUUCACACUCAAAAACUGUGACAGAGAACUAUAUUUUGUAACCUGGCAAAUCUAGUCCAUCACCCUCCUCCUUAGGUGGAUAAAAUAGAGUACCAGUGAGGAUGAGAGGCAUUUUGAUUUCCCUUUAGAGUGAAACACACACACACACACACUCACACUCACAAACACACACACAAUUUAAAGUCUUAAUGUGAUUGAUUGCUAUAAAUUUGCUAAUUGUUAGUUGGCAUAUACAACUUGAACUUUAUUUGAUAUAACUUUCUUAAAUCUGAGCCUCUGUUUUCAUUAAUAGAUUAAAGUAUGUUUUUGAGUGGUUUCAGUCAGAUUUGAAAGUAUUAACAGACUUCUUUUCCAAACCCCACAUCUCCUUCCCACUCCUAUUACCCCACACCACCAGCUACCUGGUGACUUUCUGACUGCAGCAAAGUGGGGAAGCGCCCUUUAUCAAUGGGUCCAUGACUCAUUCUGGUCUCAUAAACUUCUCAGGUAGACAGUGUAGCUACUUAUUAUCUAGCUGCUGACAACAGCUAAUGUCAUCUUCUGGCAAGCUUCCUGGUGAGCCAUAAGUCCAAUGCCUACUGCUUGUUCUGAGGACACACAUCUGCCCUACUUACUACUUCACAGAGCUUUUUUAUGAAUGGGCUCCUGGGAUCCAACUGCUUCUCAGUCAUCUCUGGCUGUCUAAUUGCAUCAUUCUGGUGUCUCCUUAGGCUCCCUCAGAAGCCUGCUUCUUUAGUCGUGGGAAUUAAGAAAGAUGAUAUGCAAUCCCCAGUUGUCCUUUCUCCAUUUCUCCUGUGGCAACAAACAAACAAGAACAAAAAAAAACCUACUACAAGGCUGGAGAUCUGAGUGGAGGUAAUCACAGGAAAAGAAAAUAAUAGUAAUAGUAAAUAAUAAAAAAGUAAGUUCUUAAUCUUACUUUUUAAAAAAUAUAAGGCAAUGUGUAUUAAAAAUCUAUAUGGAAAGGCAUUUUAUUUGAUGUAUCCCAAAAUCUACUUGACUGAGAAAUGUUUUCCUAGGCAGACUCAUUAAAAGGUCAACAGGAACAAGUAUUCUAUUAAACAUAUUUUGAGGAAUCUGGAUGUUGACCCUUGUCUGGCAGUCCCAUGCUUGGAAAGUGUUUAAUAGUUCAGCAUUCAUUAUUAAAUUAGAUUUAAAUAUAUCUGCCUUAAUUCUUUAAGGCUGUCUAUGCUCUAGUACUAAUUUAUUUUUGUAUCCUUAUCUCUUGAUUCUCUUAUAUAUAGCAUGUACUCCAAAUUACAUGAUCCUAAAUAUACUUUGUGGUUUCCGCCUUCUACAUCUUUUUUUAAUGCUGUUUCCUCUGCCUUCCUAGAAGGUUUUGUUAAAUCAAAAAUUCUAUCUCUUCAUGAAUAUUUUUAAUCUCCUUAAUUCAGUGUGAUUUCUUCCUUCUAUGAACUUGCAUAGAUUUUACUAUGUUCUGCCAGAGCAGGUAUUAUUCAUUUUUUUCUUUACUUAUGAGGUUGUAAUUUCAUUCAAUAUAGAGAACAUAUCUUGCUUAUCUUUAAACCUUCCAUAAUGUUUUUCACACAUGCAUCUUCAACAAAUAUUAGUUAAAUAAAUGAAAUAAGAUGCACUAAAGAUUGAGAUGAUUUAUUCUUUGGGUCUAUGCCCUGGUUCCAAGUAGUUUAUGAACCAUAUGCAUUUAUCUGCUCUCUCUCAUGAGACUCCAUUGAUACAAGGAAAAAGAAAUUUUUAAUAAAUUAUAAGCUUUUAUUGAUGAAAAAUAAAUAGAAGAAGUGAGAAUUGAAUGAAUUUCUGGGAGAUGGAAAGUAAACAAAGCAAUAUUUUCUGUUGGAAAUCACGGCCCAGACUUUCUUUAAAGGGUGAUAUAGUAAGACAAAAUGCCAGUCCCCGAUGAAACUUUGAGGGUACAAGGUGCCUAGAAAAAGAGGGCAAAUAUUAAUUCAAGUUAUGUAUAUUGAACGAUGACUUACACCUCUUUCAUUAAUCACAGUACUAUUUCCCUGCAGUUAAGUCUGGCUAGACAUUUAUCAUUCGGGAAAAAUAAAACUUUUCCUAGAAUAAUUUAAAUAAAACGAAGUCCACCUUAGCAGAUAAUUUGGAGCUGGGUUCCAGUUCUCUAUAAUCUGGUAUUUGAGAGGCCCCAGAUUGAGUAGUCUAAUUUCUUUUUGCUUUCUAUAUGGUAAAACCUACCAUUUAACACAUCAUAUUCACAGACAAAGGAAUCCAUUUAAUGUCCUUAUAUCUUGUACUCGAAAUUUGAAAUAUGGCUCUUGUUAUUUGCUGAAUAUCAGCAUGCAGGAUGAGAUGAGAGAAAUAUAUCCAGCCAAAGGAGAGCAACAACUUCUGUUCUGUUGUACUGAAAUUGUUUUGGGUCUAUAGCUAAGGUUGGGUGUUACUUACACUCAUUAGUAAACAUAGAUUUGUUUAAAAAAAUCAAAACUAUAAUAUUUAAAAAGAGAGUCAAAUAUAUAUUUUCAAAACAAGGAGUUUCAGUAAGUGAAAACAAAGUACAUUAAAAAGAGAUUCAAGCAUGUAUUUGAAAAGUAGAGUAGUAUAAACAAUAAUUUAGAAGACUAUUUUGAAGUAUUAUAAAGGGUGGUGAUGAUUAUUCAAAGGAAUAAAAUCUUAUGGAUUUUGUUUUUCCACAGGCUUAAAUAUUUAACUUAAAUUUCUGUUGAACAUGAUUCUGGAGGUGCUGAUUUUGUCUUCAGUAUUAAGGGGAUAAAAGGGUCAUAACAAAUAAAUACAGAAAUCCAAAAUAAAAUAAUGAUAAUUAUUAUUCCCAGCAAGAUUCAAACAGAACAGGAGUUGUGGUGGAGAAAUGGAGAGGAAAGACCUGUUGAAAUUAAAAGAGUGAUUGCUGAAAUUUAAAAAAAAAAAUUGUUUUGGAAGAUAAUCUCAUAGAAAUAUUUAGGAUUUUAGAUAAAAAUGCAGAGUUGGAAUAUACAAGCAAAAAGACUAGAAGCACAGGAGAUCAAUCCAGAAGAGAUGAUAUUUGCUUUGGUAGCAGCUCCACCAAGAGAGGUUAGAGAAAAUGAUAGUUAGAAAUUAUAAGAGAAGAGGAGAGACUCAAGCCUGUAAAUUGUUAGGGUCUCCUGAGUGUGAGUCGUAAUAAAUAAAAAAGAACCACUCUUAGAUACUUAGCACUGCCAAAUUAUAAAAACACUAAUGAUGAAGAAAAUUUUCUGAAAAGGAAAGAGGAAAAAGAAAUUCAGUAUUGAUUAGAGCUUUUAAACUUUAGACAAGACUACCCAUUGCCUAGUUUUAAGUAUAAAGAGAAAUAUAAAGGAAUAUAGUCACAGAGUCAUUGGGAAAGCAAUAAAGUUACUCUCUAUGUUAAACUUGCAUAAAAAAUUCCCACUACCACACCAAGCAACUAACCAGAUAAAGGAGCUUUGGCCUCUAAAAGCCCCCAGAACAAUACUACCUCUACUAGCCAUCCAUUGCAACAAAAUGGAUGCCUCCCACCCUGCCUGUUUCCUCCCUUAGCUCAAUUCCAAAACAAACACCUAUAUUUGUAUCUGACUGCUGGAACCCAGGCCACAUGUCUGCACCACAGCUAGAACCAAUGAUUCCUAAAAUUUACCACUGAAAAGGGGUCCAAAUUAGAAAAGUCAGGCACUCAGUCUCCACAAGGGAUUGGAAUAAAUUAAAAACAACAUAUCAAAUGGAAUGCAUCUGUUUUUUCUCCCAGCUGGAAAACAAAACCAUAAACUCCAAGAAAUAAAGAGUUUAUGAUAAAGCAAAUUAAAACAUGUCAUAAUAUAGAGCAAUAAGUAGUCAGUAAGUAAAGAGAAAUUAUUUGAACAUUCUUUCUGGAUAACUCAGGGAACUGCAGAUAAGGUCAUAUAAUUGAAGCCCUCCACUUGACUCUCAAUGAACUCUAUUGCAAUCCGCAUAAUAAUGUAAUCACUGCUCACAGGCUCUCUACUUUAAAUCUGAAGUCAUAGACUUAUAGCUAAUAAACAAAACACCAAUAUUUACAACUUCAACGAUGUUCAAGAUUUAACAAAUAAAUAUUGAAAUAAAAAUGAGAAGAUAUGGAAAUGAAGAGGGUAGCUAAUAUCAUCCCCAGGUUCCAAAAUAGAAAAUCAAGACUCUGUCUAUAGUUAGUGAAACAUAAUUUUAAGUAUGGUAAGUUAAAAAGUACCUAGUAAAUCAGAGAUUGCAUAUGAAACAAAUUCUACCAGUAGAUAAGUUUUAUUUGGCUGCCAACAUGGUGUCAGCAUUUUUUUUUUCCUUUUGAAUUGUUUUCUUCGAAUUUGCGGUUCAGUAGACAUCCAACAACCAAUUCACCACAAGUCUGAACACUCCUUAUAUCCUAUAUCUGGCCUGACUUAUGUGUUUACUUUACUAAAUUUGCUCUGUAGACACUAGAGUCAGAACAUUGAAAAAUAGAAAUUAAAAAUAGCAAUAUGAUUAUAUAAGCAACUCUGGGGAAAUUCACUGUGAAAAAAUUCUUUUCUGUUAUAUCUUACAGGAGGAGGUCAAUAGGUAGUACCUACAAUAAUAGGGUAGUAAAUGUGGUAACAUAUUAUUAAGAGAUACCUUAAAACUCUCUGAAGUAAGCUCAGGAUUUGGAAGCAUGUGUUGUUAAUUUUUUUUGAUCAAAAUUUAAGCUAUGAAUGAGAAAAUAGCAUUUAAUUAAGAGUUAAAACAUUAUUAUGGUUUGGUCAUUUAUUUAGUCAUUUUAUAAAUAAUCAUCAUAUGCAUCCAUACUAUGUAAGGUACCAUGUUAGGACUUUGGGGAAUAUAAGCUUGAAUACAUUGUGAUCACAAAUCAGACCAAUAGUCUGAUUAAUAGACAAUUACUCAGACUAAGUGCAGGGCAGGAUGAAAUUUAAUAUUGCUUUUAUAUGUAUUUGGAAUGUAUUACAAAUUUCCCCUAAUGGUUUUAUUUUACUAAUGAAGAUUAUUUUUAGUUAUGGUAAGAAUUAAUUACUUGAGAAGAAAUCAAAUGACAACAUGGAGAGACAGCAGAAAUGUCCUAGUUAUAAUUAUUUUAAAGGGCAAAUGAUAAAAUGUAAAUAACAGCAAUAGGAGCUUUGUAAGUUCCUACAUGUCUAAGUAUUAAUAUUUAUGGAAUAUAUCUUGCCUGGGAAAUUCACUACAAUGUUUUAAACUAAAGGUACAGAUAUAGCAAUGUAAUAUAAAUGCACAAUGGCAUGAAGCACUUGAAUAGAAGCGAAGCAUAUGGUAUUCACUAAGCAAGCAGGCUGUGAUCUGUGUGAGAGAGGGGAAAGUACAAUGUAGCUAUAAAAUUUUAUUAAUGCUGAAGUAGAACAGUUGAAAAUCAGUGAGAUAUAACUUAUUUAAUAAUGGAGUUAAAGAGCUGAGAAUGCAGCUCCAGUAUUACAAGUGAAUUUAUUUUUUCACCUGACAGUUUAAAAAGUAGAUGAAAAGUCUUAACACAAUUUUAGGGUAUUUUUUGUGUGUGGUGGUAACAGGAAUUAAAUGAACACUUCAAAAAACCCGUUGAGAGUUAUUGAAGGAGAAACCAACGUUAAGGGCAGUGAAUUUAAGCUACUUUCAUGUACAAUCAACUUUUAAAAUCUAACUUUGGCACCUUUUUUUAUUUCUCAUUGAAGUAGAUGCCUUUCAAAAUGGUGUUCAUUGUUUAUGAUCACUGUCAAUAAUGCUUGAAAACUAUUUAGCAUUUUCCUAUUCUCUCCACUUUUGAUGGCCAUUUUUCUUAUCCUGAAAAUGGCAAACAGCUUUCCGGUUCCACCUGGUGGUAGAAAAUUGAUUACCAUGCUUUAUAUUGUGUCUGCAACUUUUAAUCUUAGAACUCAGAUUUCUAAUUUGAUGCUUGGUGACCUACAAUGUUGGGGCAGUUCUGCUGUUCAAGAAUUGGAAUUCAUAAGCAUCUUCCUAGUAGACCAAGGUGUCUUUUUUUUUUUAUUACUUCUAUCUGGAGUUCUCAAGUACUUUUCUUUCUAGAUAUUCUGCAUCCGUACAGUCAGUUCUAUCUGCAGACUUACAAGAAUAAAUGUUCAUAUAAUACAUAGUUAUGUGUUAGCUGUUUAUUUUGUAAACUCAUCUGUUUUGGAAGCUUCUGUGUACCCCACAUACCCCCGUACCGUAAAUUAUAUUUACCUUUCCAAUGAAACUGGCUACGAUUUGUCAGAAUUAUUUAUUUGACCUACAGUGGCUAAACUGUGGAUUCCUAACAUUGAUAGUAAAAGCAAAAUUGUAAUACCAUUUAAAUAUUUUAAUUUUUAAAUAAAGUUUGCAAUAAUUGUGAAAUAAUGUAAUUCAUGAGUGCAAAAAAACACCCUGGGAAGUAUACAAACAACAAACUGAUUGCAACCAAAUGGACAUUAUUUCCAUAGAUUAUGGAAUUAAAUAAAGUGCAUUAAUUUUAAUUAGAUUUAAACCCUUUGGUGACUUAUUUUAGACCUUUAAAAUCUCCUUGCAAUCAAUAUAGUGAAUUAAUACAUUUUCUUAUCUUCUUCAAAAUAGAAUAUCAAUAAAGAAAUUUAUAUUUAACUCAUUAAUCUUAUUUAAGUACAAACUGGAAUGAAAUUCUUUCCCAAAAAUGUCAAAAUAUUUCUACAGUUACGUAUAUGCAAAAAUUUCUGUAGUUAUAUAUAUGUAAACACUUUUACUACAUGGUGGAGAAUGAAUUAUAUAUUAAAGUUAUCUUGUGACAAGGUGCUCUUUAUUCCCAUUGAUGCAAAGAUAACUUAGUUUGAUAAUAAAUAUAAAUAUAUAAAAGUAACUAAUAUGAAAAUCUGUGUCAAUUUUGGUGAAUCUGAAGUAAAUUAUUUAUCAUCUGUUUAGCUACAUUAUUUAGGAUCAAAGAGAACAAAAUGUACUAGCAAACUAAAUCCAAGGAUUACAGUGUAGAGGUGCUUAAAACAAUGCUGUGAAAGAGGUAGACUCCCACUAAUGAUUAUAUUUUACAAUUUUAAAGGCAGUGCUUCAUAACACCAAGGCUUUUCUUUAGUUUACCUCUAGUGUGAUGGCAUUCUUAUAUACAUAAAGAAAAUAUGAAAAUUAAAAAAAAUAAAUUCUACUUUCUAACAUCUAUUAAUAUGAAUUUCACAAAAACAUACAGGUUCAUAAAAACGUAGGAAGUCAUCAGUAUAAUAAGAUUUUGUGCUAUUUUAUUAAAGUGGGACUACUUUACUGAACAGGGUAGUACAGCAUAUCCUGAAAUAAGAACAGAGUAUGCAACAUAUUAAGACUUCAAAAUAUUGUAUCUAGGACAGGAAAUUCCAAUUAAAUCCUUUAUUUCUCCCUUUGGAAAAACUGAUGUGGGGAAACUCUUAAAAACAAAACUAUAUAAGGUUCUUUUACUGCAUUCAGAGGUCUGUAUUGAAAUACAUUUCCGCAAAAAACAGAUCCAACUACUUAUUAGCUAACAGCCCUUAUUCCACUUGGUUGAUUAUUUUGAAGUAUAGUAGACUAAUAUGUGAGUUAAUUCUUUCUGCCAAUAAAUACCCAUUUGCCUUGAAAAUGCAAUCAUUGUUAAGUGAGAAAUAUGCAACUCGUGUUUUAAAAAAUUGUACAAAUUGAUUUACACACAAUCCAAAAGUUAAUGGAACAGAUAAUAUCUUUACCUUGGAAACAAUAAACAGAAGGGAACAAACAGCUUUUUUGCGGUUUGUUUUUUUCUAACCAAUAGUUACUAUGCUGAGAGGAACCUUCAUGUUGCCCCAGGUUUGGUGAUUAUAAUCCAAAACUGAGGACAAAAAUGAUUCAAGUAUUUUAUUUGCUAAUCUUCUUACCCUUCUAUAAAAAGAGAUGAUCGGAGAGGGUGACAGAUAGAGGAGCACAGUGGUUAUGCAUCCACCCCCAGCCCAGUGAGAUGAGGUCCAAAAAAAUUACUUAUUACUCAUGGAAAAUAGGAUGUCUGCCUGCAGUAGGAACUAAUAUCUCAUUUGCCAGUUAGACAUCUGCUUAUGUAGUUUCCUGAGAUUAUUUGACCAUGAGGGGAAAAAGAGAAGGAGAUGGCAAGUCAGGGAGAUGACAAGUAAGGGAGUAGAGACUGCUGUGGAGCAGCCCAUACUCUUGCGCGUGAGUUUCCUGAAGCACAACCGAUAGUUUAAAAAGACCACAGUGCAAUCAAACUAGAACUCAGGAUUAAGAGACUCACUCAAAACCGCUCAACUACAUGGAAACUGAACAACCUGCUCCUGAAUGACUACUGGGUACAUAAAGAAAUGAAGGCAGAAAUAAAGAUGUUCUUUGAAACCAAUGAGAAGACACAACAUACCAGAAUCUAUGGGACACAUUCAAAGCAGUGUGUAGAGGGAAAUUUAUAGCACUAAAUGCCCACAAGAGAAAGCAGGAAAGAUCCAAAAUUGACACCCUAACAUCACAAUUAAAAGAACUAGAAAAGCAAGAGCAAACACAUUCAAAAGCUAGCAGAAGGCAAGAAAUAACUAAAAUCAGAGCAGAACUGACAGAAAUAGAGGCACAAAAAACCCUUCAAAAAAUUAAUGAAUCCAGGAGCUGGUUUUUUGAAAGGAUCAACAAAAUUGAUAGACCACUAACAAGACUAAUAAAGAAAAAAAGAGAGAAGAAUCAAAUAGAUGCAAUAAAAAGUGAUAAAGGGAAUAUCACCACUGAUCCCACAGAAAUACAAACUACCAUCAGAGAAUACUACAAACACCUCUGUGCAAAUAAACUAGAAAAUCUAGAAGAAAUGGAUAAAUUCCUUGACACAUACACUCUCCCAAGACUAAACCAGGAAGAAGUUGAAUCUCUGAAUAGACCAAUAACAGGAUCUGAAAUUGUGGCAAUAAUCAAUAGCUUACCAACCAAAAAGAGUCCAGGACCAGAUGGAUUCACAGCUGAAUUCUACCAGAGGUACAAGGAGCAACUGGUACCAUUCCUUCUGAAACUAUUCCAAUCAAUAGAAAAAGAGGGAAUCCUCCCUAACUCAUUUUAUGAGGCCAGCAUCAUCCUGAUACCAAAGCCGGGCAGAGACACAACCAAAAAAGAGAAUUUUAGACCAAUAUCCUUGAUGAACAUUGAUGCAAAAAUCCUCAAUAAAAUACUGGCAAACCGAAUCCAGCAACACAUCCAAAAGCUUAUCCACCAUGGUCAAGUGGGCUUCAUCCCUGGGAUGCAAGGCUGGUUCAAUAUAUGCAAAUCAAUAAAUGUAAUCCAGCAUAUAAACAGAACCAAAGACAAAAACCACAUGAUUAUCUCAAUAGAUACAAAAAAGGCCAUUGACAAAAUUCAACAACCCUUCAUGCUAAAAACUGUCAAUAAAUUAGGUAUUGAUGGGAUGUAUCUCAAAAUAAUAAGAGCUAUCUAUGACAAACCCACAGCCAAUAUCAUACUGAAUGGGCAAAAACUGGAAGCAUUCCCUUUGAAAACUGGUACAAGACAGGGAUGCCCUGUCUCACCAUUCCUAUUCAACAUAGUGUUGGAAGUUCUGGCCAGGGCAAUUAGGCAGGAGAAGGAAAUAAAGGGUAUUCAAUUAGGAAAAGAGGAAGUCAAAUUGUCCCUGUUUGCAGACGACAUGAUUGUAUAUCUAGAAAACCCCAUUGUCUCAGCCCAAAAUCUCCUUAAGCUGAUAAGCAACUUCAGCAAAGUCUCGGGAUACAAAAUCAAUGUACAAAAAUCACAAGCAUUCUUAUACACCAAUAACAGACAAACAGAGAGCCAAAUCAUGAGUGAACUCCCAUUCACAAUUGCUUCAAAGAGAACAAAAUACUUAGGAAUCCAACUUACAAGGGACGUGAAGGACCUCUUCAAGGAGAACUACAAACCACUGCUCAAUGAAAUAAAAGAGGAUACCAACAAAUGGAAGAGCAUUCCAUGCUCAUGGGUAGGAAGAAUUAAUAUCGUGAAAAUGGCCAUACUGCCCAAGGUAAUUUAUAGAUUCAAUGCCAUCCCCAUCAAGCUACCAAUGACUUUCUUCACAGAAUUGGAAAAAACUACUUUAAAGUUCAUAUGGCACCAAAAAAAAGCCCGCAUCACCAAGUCAAUUGUGAGCCAAAAGAACAAAGCUGGAGGCAUCACGCUACCUAACUUCAAACUAUACGACAAGGCUACAGUAACCAAAGCAGCAUGAUACUGGUACCAAAACAGAGAUAUAGAUCAGUGGAACAGAACAGAGCCCUCAGAAAUAACGCCACAUAUCUACAACUAUCUGAUCUUUGACAAACCUGACAAAAACAAGCAAUGGGGAAAGGAUUCCCUGUUUAAUAAAUGGUGCUGGGAAAACUGGCUAGCCAUAUGUAGAAAGCUGAAACUGGAUCCCUUCCUUACACCUUAUACAAAAAUUAAUUCAAGAUGGAUUAAAGACUUAAACGUUAGACCUAAAACCAUAAAAACCCUAGAAGAAAACCUAGGCAUUACCAUUCAGGACAUAGGCAUGGGCAAGGACUUCAUGUCUAAAACACCAAAAGCAGUGGCAACAAAAGUCAAAAUUGACAAAAGGGAUCUAAUUAAACUAAAGAGCUUCUGCACAGCAAAAGAAAUUACCAUCAGAGUGAACAGGCAACCUACAAAAUGGGAGAAAAUUUUCGCAGCCUACUCAUCUGACAGAAGGCUAAUAUCCAGAAUCUACAAUGAACUCAAACAAAUUUACAAGAAGAAAACAACCCCAUCAAAAAGUGGGCAAAGGAUAUGAACAGACACUUCUCAAAAGAAGACAUUUAUGCAGCCAAAAGACACAUGAAAAAAUGCUCAUCAUCACUGGCCAUCAGAGAAAUGCAAAUCAAAACCACAAUGAGAUACCAUCUCACACCAGUCAGAAUGGCAAUCGUUAAAAAUUAAGGAAACAACAGGUGCUGGAGAGGAUGUGGAGAAAGAGGAACACUUUUACACUGUUGGUGGGACUGUAAACUAGUUCAACCAUUGUGGAAGUCAGUGUGGCAAUUCCUCAGGGAUCUAGAACUAGAAAUACCGUUUGACCCAGCCAUCUCAUUACUGGGUAUAUACCCAAAGGACUAUAAAUCAUGCUGCUAUAAAGACACAUGCACACGUAUGUUUAUUGCGGCUCUAUUCACAAUAACUAAGACUUGGAACCAACCCAAAUGUCCAAUAAUGAUAGACUGGAUUAAGAAAAUGUGGCACAUAUACACCAUGGAAUACUAUGCAGCCAUAAAAAUGAUGAGUUCAUGUUCUUUGUAGGGACAUGGAUGAAAUUGGAAAUUAUCAUUCUCAGUAAACUAUCGCAAGGACAAAAAACCAAAUACCACACGUUCUCACUCAUAGAUAGGAAUUUAACAAUGAGAACACAUGGACACAGGAAGGGGAACAUCACAUUCUGGGGACUGUUGUGGGCUGGGGGAAGGGGGGAGGGAUAGCAUUAGGAGAUAUACCUAAUGCUAAAUGACGAGUUAAUGGGUGCAGCACACCAGCGUGGCACAUGUAUACAUAUGUAACUAACGUGCACAUUGUGCACAUGUACCCUAAAACUUAAAGUAUAAUAAUAAUAAAAAAAUAAAAGAAUAAAAAAUAAUAAAAAAAUAAAAUAAAAAGGUUUGACCUAUCUUUCUAGUACCCCAUCUACUCCACAAAGUGAGGCAGCUGAAGAAGCUAGAGUCUAUAGGGUGUACCGCUAGGAAAUAAGGAAGAGUGGAAUGCAGUUUCUUGCUUACCAGUGAUGUCAUACAGAGGCCCACCUCUCACUCCCCGAAAAACAUUUUCAUGUCUCUAUAAGAUAGGCAUCAUGUGGUUACCAUCUUCAUAGAAAACAAUGAUGGCAGUUAGAAUUAGCCUGCAGAGCAGCGACAGCCCAGGGAGAACAAGCCUGAGCUGGUAAGAUUGGAGCUUCAAAUUUGAUAGGCCUGGGUUGGAUUUAAAUGGAGCUCCAAUGUGAUUUUAAAGAAAUGGGAUCUGCCUAAAAUAUUAUUAAAUGAUAGGAAUGGGAGAUCUGAAAUUGUAUGGCUGAAGGCUACAAAGUCACGGAAUUUGUAAUUUAUUUACUUCACUAGACUGCUUUUUUCCUUUUUCCCAAGCAAUCAACUUGUCUUCCAAUAUCCUUUCCUUUUAAUUUUUUUCCAUUAAGACAUUUGUUGAGGGCAUAAAAAUGUCAAGGAUAAUAAACACAAGCUUCUUUUCCUUCCAAGAUGUCUCAUCAAAAAUUUUCUAAGGCUCUCUUGACUGGUAUUGGCUGUUGGGUGCAUGAACUCUACAGCAUGCCCCUUUAUUCAGAGAGACUAGAGAUCUAGGGGAUUCUUUCUUUCUCUUCUUUCCUUUGUUGCCCAGGCUGGAGUAGCUGGGAUUACAGGCAUGCACCACCACGCCCAGGCAUUUUUUUUGUUUUGUUUUGUUUUGUAUUUUUCGUAGAGACAGGGUUUCUCCAUGUUGGUCAGGCUGGUCUCAAACCCCCGACAUCAUGAGAUCCACCCUCCUCAGCCUCCCAAAGUGUUGGGAUUACAGGCGUGAGCCACCGUGCCUGGCCGGGAUUCUUUCAAAUAUUAAACAUAUACUGUUCUUCUGUACUCCAUUUGGUUUUUUAAAAUAUAAUGUUUCAUCUCCAUAUUCUGUUAUUUUUUAACUUUUUUUAAAAUCCGAGAUCAUUAAAAGUAGCUGUAGCUAGCAAUGAUUUUGAAAACAAAUGUGGACAUAAACUUGGCUAGGAAGGAUUCUUUACUAUUCAAUGACUAGUCAAUAUAGUAGAACAGUCUCACAAGAGUAUGAAGUAGAUAACAGAUUAUACUAUUUUAGAGGUUGGAGUGUACCUCAAGGUUAACAGUUAGUAAUUACACAAGCCUCUUAUUUCUCCUAAAUGUUCAUUUAGUUGCUGUAAACACAUCUUAAAUCUUUAUUAAAUGGUUUUUCAUAAUUUUCGAUGAGCUUCCCACUCUACGCUUUUUGUCCAUAAUAUUUCUUAUGUUUUUAUUGCUGCUAUUUUUAUCUAAUUACAACACUAAAUUGAUAUAAUAUUAAAUUCACUUCAUGUCCAUUAGUGAUUAUGAAACUCAGUUUUUUUUUUUUUAAUUCUAAUGACACAUUUAUCAUAGAGAAAGUAAUUCAUUAGACCUAAACAUUAUUCUGGUGAAGGCAAAAGGAAUUAUAUAAUUAGAAAAGCAGAACAUUUAGUAAUUGAGCAUGAAGAACAUUGUUAGAUUAUUCUUUGUUCAUUUAACAAAACAUAUAUUAAGCUCUUCCUCUGUGUCGGAACCGAUGUCAUGUCUUGGGGAUAUAGUGGUAAACAAUACAUGAUCCCUUUUCUCAUAAAGCUUAUUUCACAGGGAAGCAAGAUAUUAAGAAUUAAUUAACACAAUUUAAUGUUACAGUAUUAUGAAAGGAGAAGUACACUACAGCAAAACUGAGGAAGUAAUGAUUAAGCUGAGGGUCAAGAAUGGAUACGCCAUAGGAGGUAGAGAGAAAAGUAUUGUGGAAAAUCCUAGACAUAAGAGACAGUGUCUUGUUCAGGACAAAUUAAAGACUUCUAAUGGCUGAUGUGCAUAAGAGAAAGCAGACAGAAGUAACAGAUGAAACCUGAAAGACAGUCAUAGAACAGGUGAGCAGGGCUUUGUAAUGACAAUUUUUCAAAGUUUAACUUUAUCAGAUGGAAGAAGGAAGCCCUUUAGCAUUUUCAAUGGCAGAGUGACAUGAAAUAAUUUGAGAUUUUGAAAUUUACUCUUACUACAUUACUGUAAAA